GACGAACGCUGGCGGCGUGCCUAAUACAUGCAAGUCGAACGGACAGGUAAGGAGCUUGCGCCUUUGACGAUAGCGGAGGGCGUGUGAGUUACACGUGGAUCACCUACUUGUCAGACUGGGAUAACCACGGGACACCGGAGCAAACACCGUAUAAGCUCCUGAACCGCGUGGUUCGAUAGUAAAUGUCGGCUGUGCGGGCUCUUAUAGAGGGAUCUCCGCCGUAUUAGCUAGUUGGGAAGGUCACGGCUUACCAAGGCAACGAUUCGUAUACGACCUGAGAGGGUGAUCGCCCACCCUGGAACGGAGACACGGUCCAGGCUCCUAAGGGAGGCAGCAGUAGGGUAUCUGACGCAGUGGGCGAAAGCCUGACGGAGCAAGGCCGAGUGUGUGAUGACGGUGUUCGGAUCGUGAAACUGUGUUAUCAGGGAUGAACAGCUGUCUAAGUAACUGAGCACAUAUUGACGGUACCUGGUCAGAAAGCAACGGCUAACUACGUG
rnacentral:rRNA from 1 species